UUCCUUUUUGUUUGUUUAAAAAAAAAAAUUUUUUUUAGACACUUUCAAAUUCCACAGAGCAGCAGCUAUGUAGAGACAGACAUUACACCACAGUGACAUGCUGCUGAAUUGAAACAAACAACACCAAAUCCUUUGAGACUUGCCCAUAUGGAUCCCCAGUAUUGGAGAAGUGCAUCUUUGACAUGUUUCCUCAGAAGUUUCUAACAAGCAUUGUCCAUUGGUGCUACACCAUGUGCUGGAACUUGAAGAUAUAUCCUAACUGCUGAUGGAACAGGUUUAGAGCAGAGCUUUUCCUUAUUUCCUCUUUUGAAGAGCUUUCCUCUUCUAAAUAGGAUUGCUUUUUAAUACUUUUUCAAUCAUUGUUCUAUUCCAAGUAUUGUCCAAGGUUCAGCCCAGUUGUCCUGCUUUUUCAUCUUUGUGCUUUUUGGGCCUGCGUGGUGUUGCUAACCCAAGCAACAGCAUGACUCAAGGUCAGGUAGGCUGCAAGCAAUUUGCCUCCUUCAGUGUCAUCAUAUGUGUUGCUGAUGAUUGUUAGCUGUCAUCAGUCCCUGGGUGGAGACUAUAGAACCCGAAAGUAUUGGGAAGGAAACAUCUAACUAUUUCUGAUGGAGGAAGCUCCUAGGGUUUAGUCAACCAAGCCUGUAUCUAACACCCAGAACAGUUAACAUUUAAAGGGCCUUUGACUUAGACCUAAUCACUGAAGAUGGCUGCUUAAGGCCUGACAGAGGCAGUGCUGUAAUUCCCAAAACUCUCCAUGUUCAAAGGAGAGCAUGAAGGUUGGUACUAAAGUCCCUCCAGUGCCAAGUCCUGAUAAGCAGGGCUAAGAGUCCUGACUGUCUGUUUCUCAGUACUAGGACAUUCUCAGUACCAGGACAUUUGGUCUCUAGCUGGAUGAAGAAGCAGAAAACGUGUAUUGGUACAUAUUGGAACCACAAGUUAUGCAUCCCAAUCUACCAGAUCACUUCACUAUCAGAAUCUGUGCCCAGUUUGAGAGCAGUCCUGCAGUGACUUCAGCUACUAAUUUCUCUCACACCACCUGGAAGGUCACAACUGCUUGUUAAUUUCCAGAACUGGGGAGCCAUAUGAGCAGUUCUUGAAGGCGAAAAAGUGGUGUCUUACCCUAAUGACUGAUUUUUGGAAAAUGUCCAUAUGGAUCCACACACCUCAGCCCAUUCCAACUAGUCUCUCUCUUGUUCGGGCUAUUCAGUUAAUUGAAGGAACUGAGAGUGGUUGGGGUCCAUGCCCUCUCUUAAAUUCUCACAACUAAACAAUGGGAUGCAAGUGGUCUCAUUAGACAGUACUUGAUAGAAGUUUCCAAAAUCAUGUGCCAGGGAUGCACUUCUCCCAAGAAUAUGGAUGGACAUACAUGGUUAUUUUGAGAAAAAUCCGUUACUGUACAUAAUCAUUCUGUGAUGUAUGAAAUCUGUAAGGAAAAUAUUUUAACAUUCAGCAUUGCUAUAUUUUCAUAGCUACUGAAAUUCAUUGGAAAGCAAAUGUGAGUUACGUUUACUAAGAGUUACUGCUAUACACCUUGUCAUUUCAAAAUAUAUAGAACACUUUUUUUCUUUUUACCAAGAAAAAUAACCUGACGUAAAAUUGUUCCCAUGAACUUGUCAUGAGAGGAAUGACUUAAAUAGAGUAAUCUUACUAAGCGCAUUAACUUCUUCUUUGAAUAGUGUCCAUAUGGUUACUCCACUUCAGGAUGUGUGUGUGCCCAUACACUUUUGAUCCCUGGGUCCACACCUGCAUCAUAGAUAUCUUUGGGCUCUGGUGAAUGGGUGGGACAGAUCUGCUGCUGCUCCAGUUGUUUCUCAGUUGCCUGUGGCUUGAGACAGAGCAGUGCACUGUUAGCUGUAGCUAGCCAGUGACUUGCUGCUCUUAUUGUUUGUUCAUUCUGUCAUUCUUUUAUUUUAUAUGUUUUUUUGAAUUUGUUUAUUUAACACAGCUUUGUGCUUUUGUGGAGUUCCACCUUUCCUUCUUUUAUUUGCCCAAUCUGGGAUAUUUUUAUUCUUUCAGACCUCAGUCCACAGCCACAAGUAGUGAGUUAUGCCAGCGGUUCUCAAACUUCAUUGCACCAUGACCUUCUGACAACAUAGUUUGAGAACCCCUGAGUUAUGCCCAAGACCCCAGGCUUCAAACUCUGCCAGGCCUGCCAUAGGCCUUUUCCUUGCAGUGACAGGCAUUCAAUAUGUCUCCACUGCCUGGGAGAGACUCGUGUCCCCGCCAAAUGUACGAUCUACUCAGGAGUUAAAAGCGGAUCAAAAAAGUUGGAGAUGAGACUAAAACUCCUGUUGAUGGAGCAUUCUCUGAGACCCUGGGGUCCAAACCACCACCUUUAUACAUUGGAUUUGGUUGUUCAGAGCAGCCUGGUGCAUCACAGUUGCUAUGGUAAGCAAACCCUGGGGUCCUUCAGAACCAUCCAGACUCCAAAAAAAAAAAAAACCCCAUUUUA